UCGGCUGCUGUGCCUGAUGUCUCUCCUGUGAUUUUCAGCUUCUUCUGCCCAGAACCCCUGGCACCCAAGAUUUCCUCUGAAAUUGUAAGGGACUGAAUUUAACCUAAAGACCCUCUACCUUCACUAUGCCUAUAAGGGCCCAGCUGCAAGAGAGAAAGAGAAUGAGGCAUUGAGAGCAAGAGGAGUUCUACAUCUACAUCAUACUGGAAGUUACCAUAACGUUGAAUAUGAAAUGAGGAAACUUUGGCCGUCGCUGGAAAAUAAAAUGCUGCAUAUGCUUUCCCACUGGCAUUCACUUUAUUGAACAUGGGAAGGCAUUUUGGUCUCUGGCAGUAGUGGAGAUUUAACGACUGGUGACUAAUCUCCCUAUGGGGAAUUGUUGAAUCCUCUGUGGAUAACCCCCUCAGCUGAUACCUCAUAAUAGACCAUGGCUAGGAUGUGUAUGGGCAUAGCUAGAAAUCAUCCAAAAAGCUCUUGUAGAUAAGAGGAUGACUUAUCUUUGCUAAUUUCUCAAUGGUAGCUAUGGGUUACAACAGCAGUUUUUUUUCUGCCCCCAUCGUCUGCUAUGCCUUCACAAAAUUACCGAACACAGUAAUUACUGGUACUGGAAACACUGGAGACAGACUUUUUCUGCCACCGCAAUCAUAGUCUUACGCUUUUUCUACUGUGCCCUUUGUUCUUUUUUAAAAAAAUUAAGGGAAAAUAUUCCUUCUUCUUAAUAUAGAAAUGUAUUGUCACCCUUUCCAUAGUUAACAGACACUUUAGGAAUCACCUUAAAUUGGCAGGUAGUGGGUUGCCCAUGAUUUUGUUGCUAUGGCAGGGGUUGGGAUGCUUGCCCCUCAAAGUUAUGCCCCAGGUCUGUGUAUAGUUCAAUUUGCAGGCAGCCAAGCUACUGACUGGGAAGCCCCUGCAUCUUAACAAAGAGAAAAAAUGAUUUUUAAUCACAAUGUGGUUUAUUUUCUAUAUUGAAGUAUGCUGUUUGUUAAUUAUACAUAAAGGAUACAUCUUUCUGUGCUGGUGAUUUAGGCAGCAGCAAAGAGAGCAAAUUGUAAGAACAUGAUUCCAAGACCCAAACAUGUAAGGGGAAUUAGAGGCCACUUAGUAUUUUUAUGGUCACUAACUAGCCCAGCUCCCUCCACAAAUCUGUUAUCUCAUCAAGAGACUUUAAAUGCUAGAGGCAUGUUAUGCAAGGGGGAGACGUUUUCACUUUUGCACCUUUAAUUUCUAGAUGUGUACUAUAUUUGAGAAAAGGCUGCUACAUUGCAGUCUAUAGACAACUUCCGUAGUGCUGGUUGGAGCAACCACAUUGGCAUAGGUACCUUGACUCAACAUCCGGUAGAACCACUCCUUCACUUUUGGACUACCCUGUGUACCCCAGGUACCACCUGUUAAAGCCACAACCUUCGACCUCUUCAUGUGACAUAAUGAGGAAGCAAAUGUAUUACAUCAGAUUUGGGUACUAUAGCUUUUUGAAUGUGGAUAUAUGUCCAAGUUGCUGCACUAAGCAUACAGCCUUCAUCCCAUGAUGGGGAAUGGUGGAGGAUUCCAAGAAUGACCAUUAUAAACAGAAUCUUCAGCCUGUUAGGCCAGUGUGAGAAUGCUUGGUAGAGCAGCCAAUACCCACAGGAGGAGGGCACCUGUCACUCGCAGGCCCUUUCUUACCUAUUAUCCCAUUAGGACCUAAAAUGCCGAAAAGUUGAAGUCCUGAAAGGCUUCUUCAAUGUCAUCUGCAAUUUCAGCACAAGGUCCUUUGGGCAGCGUUAGAUUGGCUGGCAGCUUGGUGUACUUCUCAGCAAAAUAGCUGACAUCCUCCGGUCCGUUGAGGCUGGGUACGUACGGGGCUGUUGCCUUCCCAUCAAUGAUGUCAUCCCAGGCUGUGUUCUGCAAACAGGCUGCUGUUGUUCCACAUUGGCCUCUUCGUCAUCCUCCUCAUCUUCUGCAGUGACAGUUCCCCUUUAUAUCUGGUGGCAAGGCCUCACCCUCAGGCAGGAAACAAUGGCUUUAUAUUUCCAUCAGCCUUACCUCAGUGUUUUGCUGCUGGUGCAAGAUGUUACACAGCUUGGCACCCAUCUUGAAUCUCCUGUAUCAGGAAAGAAAGAUUAGAUCUGGUUAAACUGUCUAUGGAAGAAAAAGGCAAAGGAUCACAGGUGCAUGAUGGGAAAGAGACAGCUUCCCACAGUUGAAUCCUGAGUGAGAAGGAGCCAUGUGAGUGAGGGUUUGAUGCUCGGGCCAUGCAGCACUGUAUCUGCAGCAGCGGAGGAGUUCAGUGCAACACAGAAGAACACCCCUUGCGCCUUGGUACCUCACUCAUCAGAACCAGUGGGAUCUGUCUAUGAAAGAAAAAGGCACAGAAUCAAAGGUGCAUGAUGGGAAAGAGACAGAUUCUCACAUUUGAAACCUAAGCGAGAAGGAACCAUGUGAGCAAGUCGUAUUGAUGCUUGGGCCGUGCAGCUCAGGAGGAGUUCGGUGCAACACAGAGGAACAACCCUAGCAGACUGUACCAACAUGCCCCCUGCAGAUACAACAUUUUUGAUUUUUAAGCUCUUGGUGGGAAGAAGGAAUUAAAUGCGCACUUAACUGGAGACUGUUUAUUAAAGUAUAAUGAGGUGGGACCCCCCCUUUGUUUGCUUGGCCCCUUCCGCUUUCCAUGAGGAAAUGACCAGACAGACAGCACAGCUUUGGGAGGAUGCAAACAGGAUUAUGGUUGGAUCUGGCUAAACUGUCUAUGGAAGAUAAAGGCAAAGGAUCACAGGUGCAUGAUGGGAAAGAGACAGCUUCCUACAUUUGAAUCCUGAGUGAGAAGGAGCCAUGUGAGUGAGGGUUUGAUGCUCGGGCCGUGCAGCGCAGGAGGAGUUCCAUCACUAUACCAUUAACUGAGAGACUUCAGAGCCCAAUAGGACUUGUGACCAGCCCAUUCUGGGACCCUUCCCUGCUGUGUAGGAGUUUUCUAGUGCAUUUUACUGCUGAGCCAUGGGAAGCCUUUUGUCUUUGGCUUGUUUAAUAGACUUUGGCCUCUGUCUCCACUCCUCCUUUCAUUUCAUUAUAGAAAGCUAAUCCAAUGAUUAGAGCCAGGACCUAUAUAAACCAGCUUGUCACCAUGUUUUUAGGGCUACAUAGCUGUCUGCAUCUAGUCUGUGACUCCCGAGUUCCUGGAUGAUGUAUUUUUGAGUUGUUAAACUUAUUUGGCUUUGGCCCUGGCCUGAUUCUGGACCUUGACUGCUGCCUAUCCUGAUUUUUGUUAAUUAUACUGCGCUAUGCCUUGCCUUCUGCUUACUGUGAGCAAUGGUUUGUAUACUAGACUCUGCCUUGUCUUCUGCCUGCCUUGACGGACAACUUCCAAUCUGUAUCUUCCAAUAAAAUCCAGCCUUGUUUCUUUCAAA